CAUGAACGCUGGCGGCAUGCCUUACACAUGCAAGUCGAACGGCAGCAUGACCUAGCUUGCUAGGUUGAUGGCGAGUGGCGAACGGGUGAGUAAUGCAUCGGAACGUGCCUUUUAGUGGGGGAUAACGUAGCGAAAGUUACGCUAAUACCGCAUAUUCUCUGAGGAGGAAAGCAGGGGACCUUCGGGCCUUGCGCUAGAAGAGCGGCCGAUGUCGGAUUAGCUAGUUGGUGAGGUAAAGGCUCACCAAGGCAACGAUCCGUAGCGGGUCUGAGAGGAUGAUCCGCCACACUGGGACUGAGACAAGGCCCAGACUCCUACGGGAGGCAGCAGUGGGGAAUUUUGGACAAUGGGCGCAAGCCUGAUCCAGCCAUGCCGCGUGAGUGAAGAAGGCCUUCGGGUUGUAAAGCUCUUUCGGCUGGGAAGAAAUCGCACCCUCUAAUACAGGGUGUGGAUGACGGUACCAGCAGAAGAAGCACCGGCUAACUACGUG
rnacentral:rRNA from 1 species